GGAGCCGUAUGGGAUGGUAAGGAGGCUCCUGGUCCUGGGCAUGACCUAAAACUGCAUCCUGCCGUGAGUGGGUGGCCUGGUGGGGCUCAGUGGUACAGGAGCCCCCAGGAAAUGUCAGGCCAGUUACCACCCCAGUGAAAAGUGGGUUGGGGUGCCUUAACCCCUAGCCCCCACAACUGGGUGGGUUACCCCUUUGUUUGGAGGGCCCAGAGGUUGGACCCUUGGAGAGAGAAAAAGGGCCAUAGACUCAACUCCUGUCUGAGCUUCCCCUGACUGGUCCAUGCUGGGGCCAGGACCGGAAGGGUCGAAGGGCCGGGGGUCCACCACGAGGAAUGCCCAGGAGCUGAGGGCCUGGGGUUCUGACUGGCCUGAAGGUGGGCCAGGGCUAGAGAGCCGAAAGUUCCGGUGGGGGGAUCGCACCCGAAGGGGAAGCAGUUCAGGGAGCUAGGUUGCUCAGUAUGAAGACAGAUGAGACCACGUGAUGAGAGGAAUCCAGGUGGGGUUCAAUUAGGAGGAUUCUGGGGCCCAGAGUAGGGGCCGGUAAUUAUGAUAACAUCUAGAUGCCAUCUGCGAGGCUUGGGCUGCGGUGUAGGGGAGGAAAGGAGCCGCAGAUAGCGCCCCCCUGGCAUCGGGGCAGAAAAUGGGCAGCUUCCUGCUUAAUUGAUGUCUAUUAAUCAAUUAACAUCAAGGCAUAGCAGGAGAGAAGGUGGACAGUUACCCCAGAAACAGGUGGGCAGGCCACAGCGAGAUCAGCCCCAAGAAGGCCCCCGUUACAAAGACACUAAACAAAUCUUCCCCUUGGGCUUCCUCAGUUGAGAAUGGAGACUGAAAUCUAGCUGGUAAAGAGCAGUUUGCCAUGUUAGCAGUUUUUAAGUCUUAUUCUUGCAAUGCAUGCAGUACAGGCAGACUCCUGUGCCUACGCAGAUCCCCAGUGAAGUCACAGAGGUUCCAGGGCCUCACUUACACAAAGCUCAAUUGAGGAUCAGGGCCAUAACUAGCAAGUUUGUUGUGGUUUUUUUUCCUUAGAUGGGUUCAAGGGAAGAUGAUGUAUAACUUGGUGGACUGCUCUGUUCUCUCUCCUUGGUAAAGUCAUCUGAGCAAUCAGCGCAGCUGCACUUGUAACUGUGCAAUAGUGUCAGAUCUGUAAAGCUCUUUUCAUCGGUGACCAAUUAAGCAAAACCCAAGAUUUUCCUAGUCCAUGUUUUGGGUGAGAAGGGAGCCCCUUAAACUCAUUAGAGAGAGGCUUUUUUUUAAGCUCGGGUGAACUUUGCUUUGUCUCUUGCCUCUGCCUCCGUUCCCUUGUCUCCUCUAUAGUUCAUUCCCAAUUGUACCUGCCAGGAGCACUGAGUCUGUCCCCGAAGUGUUUAUAUUGCACCUGAACAUGAGAAUUUGAUAAGAAAUUUCUGCAGUGAUAAAAAGUGCUCUCAGGUCAAAGCUGAAGUGGUAAAAUUAAUUGUUCAGAGACCAUGCGUCUCAAGCCAUCUAUAAAAGCAGUAUAAUUUACUGCCUGGAGUACCACCUGUGUGAUGCAGCUGUCUCAACCACUUUCCUGAUGCAGAAAAAAUGAUAUUCAGGAGAGGUUUUAUUUGGGUUAAAGUCAUGCUCUCUGGAGGUUUUGUUUUUUCACCUAAUUGAAAACAUUUACAGUCCUCCUGCCAAAGAAAUGUUAGUGUGAGCCAACCUGAUGAAGAGGGCCCCUCGCCUCAAAACCAUGAAUCACUGAAGAUCACUUCUCAAAUCUAGACCUGAAUAUAAGAAUCUGCUUAUCAAAUAAAAAUAGUAGCAAACAGGAUCACUGGGGGGAUGACAGCUUCUUGAGCUUUAUCCAAAGAAUUGUCAUUAGGUUCUUGUUCCAAAAAAUAUUUUCUGCAACAAGAACCUUGGCCAAUAAAAAAUUCAAGAGACAUCCAGAAAAGCAUCCUUUUGCAUAGAUGUGGUAUUGAUCUUCUCUCAGUCCUUGUGCGUAGCCUUGUAGCCUGUUCACGUGAGUGAGGAGUAUGAGCCUGUGCUCCCAUGCAGGCCUAAGCAGAGUUUUGGUGAUAUUUGAGAAUUGCUUUCUCAAAGCUAGUAACUAUAAUACUUCUAUUUUAAGAAGAGGGGUGUUCUCGUGGCUAAAACACUGGCCUGGUGUUCAGAAGAGUUGGGUCUAAGUCAUGAUUCUGUCAUAGAUAUCCUGGCUUACCCAAGGCUUACUUCCUCAGAGCCUUACUUACUCAUUUGUAAAAAGGAGAUUUCCUCUGUCCCACCUUUUGUCCUGUCUCUACAAGGUAGAGACUUUUUAAUUCUGUGAACAGAACCUGGUAGAAAAGUGCCUAACCCAAUCUUGGAUGGGCAUUGGAAAAACUAAAAGAUUAUUUAAAAAAGCUUAAAAACCAAACAAGAACCAAUAAUGAAAAACCAAAGAAACUCAAAGUCGAAGUGAGCAAAGCUUUAGGGUUGCAGUUUGCAGCAUUUUCUGGGUAACUGUGCUCUUUUUUUCCCACCACAUUUCUAAUCCAAUUGCCCUUUUAUCUAUGGAGAACAAAAUAAACCCUUUAAAUAAAUCCACUAACCAAAAAGCAGCUUUGUUUUCUUCUUGCAAAAUUCACCCCCAAGAUACUAACAAUGACAGGGCUCUGAGGUGGGAGAGAGUAUGAGGGGGAACAGGGGGAGGGAAGAGCAGGUAGGAUUUCAGACUUCCUUUUGGACAGGGAAAAAAAAGCAAAAUUGCCUAAGGAAAGACCAGAUUUACAAAGGUGUUUGGGUAGCUAAAGAUGGAGAUAUGUUGCUGGUCAGGUUUAGAAAAGUCUCAGCAGGCUCAAUAGCUAGAUCCCAUUGACUCUGUUAGACAACUAUACCUUUCAAAGAACCGUGCUCCAGAGUACCACAGUGAACCUUGCCAGGCCUGCUCAAAAUAUACGGUGUCCUGAAAUAGAUGUAUUACAGCUAUUUUAGUCUAGUGCCAGGCUAUGCCAACAAACACUGCUGAGAAAGCAAACUUACUGUCAUGUGCUGAGUGGCAUGUUAAGGGGGGCAAUAUUACAUCUCUUUUAGGAUCUAGUGCCUCAUGAUGGCACACCCUUUAACAGGGUAGGUGUAACCUUAGAUGCUUCCUGGCCUUUUAAACAAACACCUUCCUGGAUCUUUAGGUGCCUAAAUCCUUUAGGUCUGUAAGUGCUGUCUUCUGAAAAUGGUACUCUUGCUUUAAUAAUAUUGUUAUAUAAAUGAACAAUUACAAUUUUUAAAAAAUAUUCCUACUCUGUAGUGUGGUAACAUUUUGUAUCAUCAGGCUCAGGGAUGGUGGGCCAUUGUGAUAUAAUUUUUAAUGAUAAAUUUAAAAAAAAUGCUGCAAAGGGAAUUCAGCUAUUGAAUCUGUUUGGCAUGAAGCUAGCUGUAUUCUUUAAAGCCUUUUGGUUAAUUCAACAAGGGAAUUGCACAUGUGUAUUGUUAGACCCUAACUCCAUGAGGCACCCAACGACUAGGGAGACGAUGGUCCAAUUACUCGUGGAUCCUGUUGCUCAUUAGCCAGAGCAGGAAGCAAACACCAGCACACAUUGCUCACCACAGCUUUAUUUGGAAUGGAGACAGCUUCAGACCAGCUCCCUCACAGACAGAAUACGGGGAACUGCCCUGAACAGUAGAUUCUUCCUACAUUUAUACACUUUGGUUUAUACUCAUUAACAUUCGCUUCACUUUCGUCCCGCCUUCUGUUCCAUCCAUUUCCUCCCCUAUCUCAAGCUUGGCCUCUGUUUACUGUUUGCUUAAUUAGCAUGGAAUUGCCUAUGCAUUUCAUUCAUUUACGUGUCUUUUUGCUGUGAGCGCGUGUCUAAGACCUUGACUCCUGCUCUUUAGUCAGUGGGCGGACUUUGACCAAAACCGGGAAGCUUCUGGAGGCUUCUUCACCAAUCGCCAUUCACCUUUUUGCAUGUGUUCAUCUCAGAUACUGUUACCAAUUACGUGUUGUUUUCCACAGUCUGGUCUGUUUUUCUGUCUCAGAUUCUACCAUCUUCCACCCUUUUUGGGUUCCUAUAUCUUAUCUCAUUCUUCACUGUAGCUGGUUCACAACACACAGACUCGCACAGAUUCACUUACUGCUUUUUCCUCAGAAAAUAGUUGACACAGUUUAGAUGGUUACUUAGAGUAAGCAAAUUGCUGGCUUAGCAUAAGCAUUCAUAAGCAAAAUCUGGUUGCCUAAGCAUCUUGCAAUAUAUUUUUAUUAUAUCAUUUCUGCCUUGUGGUUAGCAGCAUUGCUAGGCCACAGGUCAUGCCUUUUAUUCAGCUUGUCGCGGAAACACACACAGAGUACUUUUGGGUCAGGUCAGCAGAAGCUUUUAUUCAAAAGAAACUACAGCUGUAGGGGGAGUUCCAAAGUGACAUGGAUUUCCCAAGCACUUGGAAGGGGUCCCCCCCCAAGAGCAAAAUCAGGAGGCUUAUAUACUUUUUAACAGUCGCUUACAACUCACGUGAUCAUAUAGUGAAAUUAGCAUGAAAAGCGGCUAUACUAUUACUUCAUUAUUUCUUUGCUGUAAUCAGGAUGGGAAUUAUGGGGGAGGUGAGGUUAGUUCACAAACCUCCUUCUUGCACCUGGAAAUCUACUUUGUACAUACUUUUUUGCUACCUUCAAGGCCGCGGUGAGCGAAGCAGUUGCAGAAGAGUUACAAAGAACAAACACUUGCCCUUAUCUGUUCUACUGUACAGAGCCAGCAAUUCUACACAAAGCGGUUAUGUCAUCUUAUAACUAAAAUAAUCAAAGUUUAAGGCAUAUAUUUUUUCUGAUUCCACAAGCUGCAAAUCCAGUGCUCCCUACUAAUCCAAGUUAUUGUCACCCUAACAUGUAUGACUAAAAAAGACACAUGUGCAGCCUCAACUGCUUGAUUUUUCCUAAUACUUACUGCCUAGUGUAGCUUGUUCUGUUGGCUUUUCUAUUCAGAGGUAGACUUGCAUACAGAUAUUACAUGGCCAUAGAACUGUGAUGGAUUCCUUGAGAUGUUUGUAAGUCAUGAAGCCACAGAACUGAACAGACAUGGCAUGUGUCUGGUGCAAAACUUUUUCAAACGUUGUAGAAAAAUGAAGCAAAUAACUGAUGGCCUAGAACCAUCUCCCUUUUGGGUGUAUGUGAGGGAUUUGUUCAUCCAGGGCUUUCAAUCUUGUGGUAGGAAGUGUUUUAUAUAAAUACUAUGGAUCAUUCUGCUAAGCUUCUCAACUAGUAUGAAUCGGAAUAGCUUCUUUGAGGUACAUGGAGCUACCCAGUUCACACUAGUUGAGAAUCUGGCCCAGAGUGUCUGUAGGCUACUGUGAAUGGCAGCAUUUUGAUGGUGAAGCAGAACUAUUAAUAGAGCUGUUUCUCCUUUCUACAAUGAAUAAUUCAGUAUUAUCAACCCCAAGGAAUAAUAAUAAUAAAUCAUGAAGUGAAGCUAGAACUCCUGAGAUUAAGCCAGAUUUCAAGUUUCUUGUUUUUAAUUUUAUUUCCUUUCGUUUUUUGAACACUUAGGGCCAUCUUUUCAAGGUUUUUCUCUGCAAGUAUAAAGGCUGAAAAUGUACUGUUUGUAAUGAAAGCUGAGUAUGAGUUUUAAUAAAAGCUAUAGAAACUGAAGGACUCCAGGAACUGGGUAUUAGGAAAACCACCAAAUACCAUGAAACUUGAAAUAAUAUCACAAGGAUUGGCAGCACUGAUAAUGGCUGUGAAGUUGCUUGUUGCGAGUUGUGUUUUUGUGAUGAUGUUAAUUUUGGAGGGUCUAUUUGUCUUUCAUCAUCUUGACAUAGAACUCCAUACAAUCCACAUCAAAAGUAACUUGGACAGACAAUAUAGCCUUCAUGAUGGAGACAUUCAGAUGUGAUUUUUCAAGAGACCACACAUCAUUUGUUAUUGAAAGGACACAUUCAUCAGCGACUGCAGUGCCCAGCAAACGUAGCUAAGACUGUGGAAUUUGUUAUAUCUGCCUUGUUGUCCACCUCUUAAAAAACGUUCACCUAUCUUUCAGCAAUGGGUGCUCUCUGAUGGUUUCAGUCAGAAAGGUGAUAAGAAAUGAUUGAUUUUUGCAUUGGCCCACUCAUCAAAGAGAUGAUUCUCAUCCAACAUACUUAAAGUGGGAAUUCUAGUGCGACAUGUAGUGAGAUUAUCUUGUAUCUAGUCCCACAGUGGUAUUUUUCUCAGCAGGGCCUACUUAAGUUUUUGGUGCACUCAAAGACAGGCUUUCAGUGCUUUAGGCAAGACAGGCAUGUUGUCUAAAAAUUAUUGACUUUAUUGUAAAAUUCUUCUUCAUUUGUCCACAAUUUGCAAGAGACUGCAGUAGGUUCUUUGUUUCUGUGACAAAUCUUUCUCUAAGCCUUUCUGUUAAAUUAUCUUGCACAGAAUGUAUCUACAGCAUGACUUCAGUCACCAGCAAAUCGUAUUUUCUCAAUGGCCUCUACAGUAUUCUGAAAUGUGGCUGUUUGUUUACUGGCAAAAGUAAGCUGCAGUUUAGUGCUAGGAUCAUUGAAGACUUUUUUUUAGCAGUGUCGGGCAUUUGUCUUAAGAAAGGAAAUAUGCUUUAAGCCCAUCAAAAAUCAACAAAAUUCUUUCCGACGCUGGUCCCCGUGACAGGAAUUGUUUACUUCCAUGCACUAGUAAUUUUAAAUACUUGAGACUGACAAAUCAGCACAAGUAUUUCAACUCUUGAACAUGUACAGUGUAGAUGUGAAAGUAUGUAUAAACGUUUACAGCAGAGUUCUCCAAGUCCUUGGGAAGACAGUUGACUGCUGUUUGGGGGCAGUUAUAUACAAUAUGAGCAUCGCAGCCAGUACCAAAAAUCUCUUUUCCUAGUUUAGCUUGGAGUUUUCACCACAAAUUGUUUUUCCCCACACAUCUGGUGCCACCAAAAUUAGUGUAGGUAUUGUCUGCACAAAUUGCAGAAAACUUAGCACUAAGAGAGUACUUCUCAAUCACUUGCUGGAGACGUGCACAUUGCACAUCAGAUGUCUCACCCGGUAGAGAAGAAAACUCAGUCAUUUUUGUGUUAAUUACCCUAAUUGCAGUAUUGCCAAAUCUCGUGAUUUUCGGUGUUGUUGUUAAAGUCUACGCUUUGGGAAUGUGAAAAACUUGUUUUGUUUCUUUUCUAUGUAUUUAUAUUUAUAGACAUAUAUAUAAGAACUAAGUUUUUCACAUUCCAAAGCAUAGACUUUAACAACACCACCACCAAAAAUCAUGAGAGUUGGCAAUACUGCAAUUGCAAGAAAAUAGCAUACAAGAACAGGAAAUAGCCUUUACUCCUUUUCAUUUAUUUGUAAUAAAUGAGCACUUCUUCAAAUCACAAUACACUUCUGUUGAUAAAGAAGCUAAUAUUUUGCAAAUUAUUGUUUUGGAUUUUGUAUGAGUAGAUGAAAACUUAGGUUGGUAGAGUUUAUAAAUUCACUGUGAUGUAUAAUCACUUGACCUGAAACUGUUUCCAAGACUCUCAGAAUCGUAAAUAGACUAGUGAAAAUUU